rnacentral:snRNA from 1 species
ACUAAAAUUGGAAUAAUAAGUGAAGAUAAAUAUGCCUCCUGUGCAAGGAUGAUACGCAGAUUCGUGAAAUGCCCCAUAUUUUU